rnacentral:rRNA from 1 species
CAGCACCUCAAGUGGUCAGGAUGAUUAUUGGGCCUAAAGCAUCCGUAGCCGGCGCUGUAAGUUUUCGGUUAAAUCUGUACGCUCAACGUACAGGCUGCCGGGAAUACUGCAGCGCUAGGGAGUGGGAGAGGUAGACGGUACUCGGUAGGAAGGGGUAAAAUCCUUUGAUCUAUUGAUGACCACCUGUGGCGAAGGCGGUCUACCAGAACACGUCCGACGGUGAGGGAUGGAAGCUGGGGGAGCAAACCGGAUUAGAUACCCGCGUAGUCC